AACGAACGCUGGCGGCAGGCCUAACACAUGCAAGUCGAGCGAAGCCUUCGGGCUUAGCGGCGGACGGGUGAGUAACGCGUGGGAACGUGCCCUUUGGUACGGAAUAGCCCCGGGAAACUGGGAGUAAUACCGUAUGUGGUCGAGAGACGAAAGAUUUAUCGCCAAAGGAUCGGCCCGCGUUGGAUUAGGUAGUUGGUGGGGUAAUGGCCUACCAAGCCGACGAUCCAUAGCUGGUUUGAGAGGAUGAUCAGCCACACUGGGACUGAGACACGGCCCAGACUCCUACGGGGGGCAGCAGUGGGGAAUCUUAGACAAUGGGGGAAACCCUGAUCUAGCCAUGCCGCGUGAUCGAUGAAGGCCUUAGGGUUGUAAAGAUCUUUCAGUGGGGAAGAUAAUGACUGUACCCACAGAAGAAGCCCCGGCUAACUUCGUGCCAGCCGCCGCCGUAACAC
rnacentral:rRNA from 1 species